rnacentral:rRNA from 1 species
UACAGAGGUCUCAAGCGUUGUUCGGAUUCAUUGGGCGUAAAGGGUGCGUAGGUGGCGCCGUAAGUCAGGUGUGAAAUUUCGGAGCUUAACCCCGAAACUGCAUUUGAUACUGCGGUGCUUGAGGACUGGAGAGGAGACUGGAAUUUACGGUGUAGCAGUGAAAUGCGUAGAGAUCGUAAGGAAGACCAGUGGCGAAGGCGGGUCUCGUGGACAGUUCCUGACACUGAGGCACGAAGGCCAGGGGAGCAAACGGG